UUACAGACAAAUGUUAAAAUAAAACACAAUGAUUUUAACUUCCGUUCCAGGAUUUUAGAUGUAAGCUUGUGGUACUGUCUACUGCAGGCAUUGUAACUCUCCUCUAGAGACAGUCAAGCUAACACUGGCCAAUCGGUUUAAUUAACCGUCUUCAAUUGACCUUGGUUACGAGAUAAUACAAUCUAUGACAAUUACAACAAAAAAGCAUUAACGAAGGAUUUUUCAGGCGGGAUAUCCGUGUGGGGAAGAAUCGCCAUGGAAUUGUUGCCACAGAGAAUCAUUGAAUUUGUUAUAUUUAUGAAAUUGUUAUGUAUUGAAAUUUUAUUGUACACUUUA